GAGCUCCAGGGACUGUGAGGCCUGAGGUCAUCAGCCUGAGGGAAGAACACCGGAUCCAGGGGAGAUGUGAAUUUUCAGCAGGAACUUUAUUCCAUUGCUAAUGACAGACACCAGGAAGGAGGAGAGGAGCCAUUUGUGCAGAUCAUCUAGAAGAACCUGGACUGUUCUAGACGGAGCUGAAUAGAGUGAUCAAGUCGUCCUCCCAGAACCAGGGGGGUACUUCUG
rnacentral:lncRNA from 10 species